rnacentral:rRNA from 1 species
CGAUAACGAACGAGACUCUGGCAUGCUAACUAGUUACGCGACCCCCGAGCGGUCGGCGUCCCCCAACUUCUUAGAGGGACAAGUGGCGUUCAGCCACCCGAGAUUGAGCAAUAACAGGUCUGUGAUGCCCUUAGAUGUCCGGGGCUGCACGCGCGCUACACUGACUGGCUCAGCGUGUGCCUACCCUACGCCGGCAGGCGCGGGUAACCCGUUGAACCCCAUUCGUGAUGGGGAUCGGGGAUUGCAAUUAUUCCCCAUGAACGAGGAAUUCCCAGUAAGUGCGGGUCAUAAGCUUGCGUUGAUUAAGUCCCUGCCCUUUGUACACACCGCCCGUCGCUACUACCGAUUGGAUGGUUUAGUGAGGCCCUCGGAUCGGCCCCGCCGGGGUCGGCCCACGGCCCUGGCGGAGCGCUGAGAAGACGGUCGAACUUGACUAUCUAGAGGAAGUAAAAGUCGUAACAAGGUUUCCUAGG